AGCAGCCGCGGUAAUUCCAGCUCCAAUAGCGUAUAUUAAAGUUGUUGCAGUUAAAAAGCUCGUAGUUGAAUUUCGGGAUCAAUAUGUUGGUCGUGCCUUGGUACGUACUGGCAUUAUCGAUUCCUACCUUCUGAAGAACCUCGAUGUCAUUAAUUUGGUGUCUUGGGGAAUCAGGACUGUUACUUUGAAAAAUUAGAGUGUUUAAAGCAGGCUCGCGCCUGAAUACAUUAGCAUGGAAUAAUGAAAUAGGACGUUCGAACCUAUUUUGUUGGUUUCUAGGAUCAACGUAAUGAUUAAUAGGGAUAGUUGGGGGCAUUAGUAUUCAAUUGUCAGAGGUGAAAUUCUUGGAUUUAUUGAAGACUAACUACUGCGAAAGCAUUUGCCAAGGAUGUUUUCAUUAAUCAAGAACGAAAGUUAGGGGAUCGAAGACGAUCAGAUACCGUCGUAGUCUUAACCAUAAACUAUGCCGACUAGGGAUCGGGAUGAUAGUUAAUUUUAAUGUACUACAUUCGGCGUACCG
rnacentral:misc_RNA from 1 species